UACGAAGGGGGCUAGCGUUGCUCGGAAUCACUGGGCGUAAAGCGCACGUAGGCGGAUUUCUAAGUCAGGGGUGAAAUCCUGGAGCUCAACUCCAGAACUGCCUUUGAUACUGGGAAUCUUCGAGUUCGGGAGAGGUGAGUGGAACUGCGAGUGUAGAGGUGAAAUUCGUAGAUAUUCGCAAGAACACCAGUGGCGAAGGCGGCUCACUGGCCCGAUACUGACGCUGAGGCACGAAAGCGUGGGGAGCAAACAGG
rnacentral:rRNA from 1 species